GAUUCAUGAUAACUAUACGAAUCGCACGGCCUUGCGCCGGCGAUGGUUCAUUCAAAUUUCUUCCCUAUCAACUUUCGAUGUUUGGGUAUUGGCCAAACAUGGUUGCAACGGGUAACGGAGGGUUAGGGCUCGACCCCGGAGAAGGAGCCUGAGAAACGGCUACUACAUCCAAGGAAGGCAGCAGGCGCGCAAAUUACCCAAUCCCGACUCGGGGAGGUAGUGACAAUAAAUACUGAUACAGGGCCCUUUCGGGCCUUGUAAUUGGAAUGAGUACAAUUUAAAUCCCUUAACGAGGAACAAUUGGAGGGCAAGUCUGGUGCCAGCAGCCGCGGUAAUUCCAGCUCCAAUAGCGUAUAUUAAAGUUGUUGUGGUUAAAAAGCUCGUAGUUGAACCUUGGGCCUGGCUGGCCGGUCCGCCUCACCGCGUGCACUGGUCCGGCCGGGCCUUUCCCUCUGUGGAACCCCAUACCCUUCACUGGGCGUGGCGGGGAACCAGGACUUUUAC
rnacentral:rRNA from 1 species